rnacentral:rRNA from 1 species
ACCCGCUGAACUUAAGCAUAUCAAUAAGCGGAGGAAAAGAAACCAACAGGGAUUGCCCUAGUAACGGCGAGUGAAGCGGCAACAGCUCAAAUUUGAAAUCUGGCGUCUUUGGCGUCCGAGUUGUAAUUUGCAGAGGGCGCUUUGGCAUUGGCAGCGGUCCAAGUUCCUUGGAACAGGACGUCACAGAGGGUGAGAAUCCCGUACGUGGUCGCUAGCCUUUACCGUGUAAAGCCCCUUCGACGAGUCGAGUUGUUUGGGAAUGCAGCUCUAAAUGGGAGGUAAAUUUCUUCUAAAGCUAAAUACUGGCCAGAGACCGAUAGCGCACAAGUAGAGUGAUCGAAAGAUGAAAAGCACUUUGGAAAGAGAGUUAAAAAGCACGUGAAAUUGUUGAAAGGGAAGCGCUUGCAGCCAGACUUGCCUGCAGUUGCUCAUCCGGGUUUUUACCCGGUGCACUCUUCUAUAGGCAGGCCAGCAUCAGUUUGGGCGGUUGGAUAAAGGUCUCUGUCAUGUACCUCUCUUCGGGGAGAACUUAUAGGGGAGACGACAUGCAACCAGCCCGGACUGAGGUCCGCGCAUCUGCUAGGAUGCUGGCGUAAUGGCUGU